AGUCCUGGGAAGGUGCAUUAUCUCUCAUGCCUAAAGUGUUGAGGAAAAGACUCAAAAGCAAGGUAUUACGCCGAAGACAAAAUCCAGAUAGAGGAAACAGAAGGAAUCCAUGCUGCUCCUGAAUGGACAUGGUGAUGAACAUCAGCGCAUCUCAGUGGACAGGAAGCCGGGGACAGCAUGCAAGGAAACCUAGGACAGCACGGAAAUGUAGUAAGAUGACUUCCCACGAUCCACAACAGUAAGGGGGCAAAGGUAGGCAUUGCCCCAAGGUUUUCCCCACUGUUUCCUGGCUUCUGGACCUCCAUGUGAUGAGGCAUGUGAUCCCAUCAGUAUUUGUGGCACAAGUUCCAGUGGAUCAUCUGAGCAACAGUAUUAUGCCUCUGCUUGUAGUCCGUCUGCAUGAUCUUCUUCAGCAGCUGAGUAUGUGAUCCAUCAUUUCAUCUGCUUCCUUACAGAGUCUAUACUUGGAAUUUGUCAUCGACUUUUCAAUUCUGUGUUUGAUGGCAUUUGUUCUGAUUGCUUGUUCUUGGGCUGCAAGAAUCAGGCCCUCAUUUCUAAUGGGACCAUUCAUACAAUCCAAAACCAAACAAUGACUUUUUAAUUGUUUCUCCUUACCCAGUCCCUAACACAGGCACUGCAACCCGGGUCGGGUACUGGAGGUAGUCUUUUAAUUAUUUUGGAGGGAAAGAGGCUGUAAAGAGAGGGGAGGCCAUGCUGUUGUUGUUGUUACUGUUUCUUCUUCUUCUUCUUCUUCUUCUUCUUCUUCUGUUUAUUAUGUUGAAUACCCUGAUUUUUCUCUCCACAAAGAGACUCGAAGCAGCUACAUUAAUUAUUUGCAAUGCUCAGUCAGGUGCAUGGCCAUUGCUGACUGGGAUUAUGUUUAUGUUUGUGUUUCUCUGGAAAAAUGUCUCUGUGUGGAAAGGCAUUUACCACCUUUCUGUCUCUCUUAUGCACGCAUGUGCACACACACAC